CUUAAAGGGUUCGCAUUGAUUUUUUACGUUUUUAGUUUUUUUGAGAAAUAUACUUGGAACGUUUCGGUCUUCGUCCAAAAUUUUGCUAUUCUGUUAUAUGUUGGAACUAGUAAUUUACACACGAAUUACGUAACAAAACCAUGUACGGAGGAUCCUUGAUUGAUGAGCAAAACAAUUUAACCGCAAUUGAAGAACUCAAACUCAAAUCAUAAUCAUGAGGAUCCACUUUCGUAUGGCUCUGCUCGAUAGCACUGAGUAUUCGCGUUGGCCUCCUUGGCUGCAGCCUCCUUUUUGUAGUUCUUGAUGUAGAAGGAGCUGAACAUGUAGGUAAAAAGACCGGCGUUGAAGGUUAGCAAAGCGGCGAUUGGUUUCGGGAAAUCACAAGUUGGCUGGAAUUGAAUUUGGAGAGUGUGCACGAAUAUGAUGAGGAAUUGAAUCUAUACUUUUGCACCUUGGGGCCCAUGGCAGAGAGCAGGUAAUAGGCGUACAUAAUGAUGUGAAUGAAGGAGUUGAUAAAGCCGAGCAGCGUGCCGUGACCACCUGUUGUAAGAAGGAGGUAGAAAGGAAUUUUAAUUAACAAAAAGUGCAUCUGUUAUAGAUUUAAAAGUCCAAAUCUGCUUUUACACGGUUCAAGUCUGUGUUUAUAUCUACUUUUUUGUAUACAUUCUGUCAAAAAAUAUCGGAAAUUGUUCAUUUAAAAACCGAGCAUUACACAUAUGUCUAAAUUUUUUUGCUGGAAUGUUGGUACAACUGUUUUCUAUAGUGUCGCAGAGUUUGAUCAACUUGUUUUUGGCAUUUAAUUAUAUCUGCAGCUGUGGUCUGCCAUUUUCACUGUGGAUAAAAAUAUCGAACAAGGAAUUCGUCUUAAAUUUUGUGUUUUAAGGGAAUUUCGGGUACCGAAUUGUUGAAAACGUAGCAGAAAAUCUAUGGAUAUGUAAGGCUUUUGCAGAGGCCCGGAAAGUCGUGGAAGAUUUGCCCCGAUCUGGUCGCCCAUCAAUGUCUUCAACGGAUGAAAACGUCGACAAAGUCAAGGAAAUGGUGCUGGAAAACCAUCAUUUAAGUUUGAGGGAGGUAGCUCGUGACCUUAGUGUGCCUCACGAAUCAAUUCCCAACAUUUUACACCAUCAAUUGAGCAUGAAACGCGUGGCUGCUCGACUCGUUCAAAGAGAGUUAAAUUUCUUUCAGAAAAUUCAUCGGAAGAAGAUGGCUGAUGACAUGCUUGAGCAAGUGAAUUCCGAUCUAACGUUUACCCAGCGCAUCAUAACAGGGGAUGAGACGUGGGUAUAUGAGUUUGACAUGCAACCCAGUCAACAGUCAACAGGCGGCUAAAUGGCGUUAUCCACAUGAGCCGAAACCCAAAAAACCAGUCAAAGUCGUUUUCUUUGGUUAUCAUGGCGUUGUGCACUCAGAAUUCAUUCCAAACGGUUCUAUGGUAAAUAAAGCAUAUUAUUUGUAAGUUGUGCGACGUUUGAGAGAGAAUGUGCGUAGGAAACGGCCCAAUUUGUGGUAAGACAACUCAUGCAUCUUGCACCAUGGUAACGCAUCGUCUCACAAGGCUUAUAUUGUCAAUCCUUUUUUGAUCAAAAACUCGAUAACUAUCAACGAAUAACCACCGUAUUCACCGGAUUUAGCCUCAUGCGACGAUUUUCUUUUCCUAAAACUUAAAUUGCCACUCCUCGGACGCCGCUUUAAGUCGAUGCAGGCCAUCAAGGUGAAUUCGCUGAAGGAGCUGAAAAAUCUUUUCAAACGUUUUUGGAUGACUGAACUAAUCGUUGGCAUAUGUGUAUUGCUUCGAAUGGAGCCUAUUUUGAAGGCGACAAAAUAAAUUUUGAUGACUAAACAAUUAUUUUGCGUUUCAUUGAAUAAUUCCCGAUACUUUUUUGACAGAAUGUAUUUUUUCACAUUUUCGCUGUAAGACAAAGGCAUAGACUGGAAAAUUGUAGUGUAUGAAAGUAAACAGAAAACAUGUGAAAGGAUAAGCAAACCAUGUAGAUCAGAACUAAGCUAGAAAGGUAAACUAACCGGCGAAAUAUUUAACUCCAACGAAUGCGCAAACGGGCAUCAAAGUGUGAUGGUACCUGAAAGUAUUGAAGCAUAUUCAUAAAAAUCAUACAAUACUUACAAAUGCAGGAAGGAGAUCUGUCGUUGCUUUUUACGCAGGACAAAGAAUACUGUAUCCAGUAGUUCAGUGAGUUUGGCGAUGUA